GGGUUUUGGCCAAAACCCCUUUGAUUACAAACAAGGCCAUAAACUAUGUAUAGUAAAAAUGAAGAGAUGGGAGGAUAAGGACCCCUCACUAUCUUGACUAUCCAUAAGCAUCUAUUAGUAAAAAAAAAAAAAACCCUUACCUCGAAAUAGACGUUCUUCCCAAAUCCUUGGUGUAUCCCAAUUCUUCACGUCUCUUCACGAUAAUAUUUUUUUUCUUCCCAAUUUCCUUUUGUCUGUAUCUUUUCUUUUUAUUUUUAUUGUUGGAUACCUUUCCCUUUU
rnacentral:lncRNA from 1 species